UGCCUCUCUCCCUCCUACAUGGGGCAGCAAGUCCCCGGCAGCCUGGAUGCUAUUCAAGCUCCACAAGCCCACAAAUAAGCAUUUUCAUCACACAGAUGUUAGGCAUGGCCCAUUAAAAGAAGUGAGACGAUGCCAUUGCAAUUUAACCCAGGGAAGAAAAAGAACGCGUAAAAAGCCGUAUGGUUUCAUAGAAUAACAAAGAACAUCUGUGUCCAGACUCAUGGGCUGGGUACAUCUCUAAGAACAAAGCCCUCUGCCAGCCUUUCUGGAACAGGAUUGCUGCUUUGAGUCAGAAUGAAGCCAUACGAAUCCCUUUUCCACUGCUGAGACAGAACUCUCUUUUCUGACUAACUCCCUCGUUUGGACAGAGAUCUCUGUAAGGGUCAACUCGUUGGCUCUGGAGUGUCAGGAGGUGAAGCCACUAGGACUCUGUGAAGCUGGACUUUUCAGGACUAGCCCAGAGCCCUGGGCAGAAGUGCAACUGGCCGAGGGUUCCACAGAGACUCAAGAACAAACUUGAGAACAGGUGUGGGGCCAAGACAGUCGCUGGGCACCAUUUGAAACAAGAGGCUACCUGGAAAACAUGCCUUCAGCGGUUUGGCGAGGAGAAACCUGUUUGAAAGGGAUGGAGUCUUGCCUUUGCCAUCACCUGCUCUGGUUCUGUACGGUUUGGUGCUCACUGAGCUCUGUUCUCUUUACAUCUCAUGCUCACAUCUCUUCCUGCUGGUCCAGGAAGCUACUUGCCUCUACAGAGGGUGUCUUCCUGUCUCUCUUUGCUUUGUAAAGUCUCAGAGAGGAGCUAUAAUGAGUCUUGGCAUGGAGAACACAGUGUUUUCUGAACUGUGGCUUGGGAUGCAUUAGUGGGUUGAGAAAUCAGUUUUGUGGGCUGAAGCCAGCAUUUAAAAUGCAAAGGAAGACGAAGAAACAGAAUGGAAUAGGAAUGAAUGAACUGAAUUGAAAAUAUUGGUCUAUUGCAUAUGGUAAGGGAUGUAGAUGUGAUGGUUAAAGAUGCAGCUGCCAUCUUGGAUUAUGAAGUAACCAUGGAUAUGGAAGACACAUAUGAUGAAACAAGGUAGAAGCAGCCUGGGUCCUUGAUGUUACGGCCAACUUACCUCUAGACUUCUUUGAAGCAGAGAAAUAGGCUUGCUUAAGCUACAGGUGACCAAACUGAGGCAUGGGGGUUUAAUAAGCUUACCCAAAACUACACAGCAAGGAGGAGGCUGUGUCGGGAAUCAAACUCAGUCACUGUGGCCCCCAAGUCCAUGCUCAUAACCACCAGGAGAUCUGGUAACACUCGCCGAAACCAGUGCUUCCUGGGACCUAGUUUGGAAAAGCUGGUUGUGAAAUACAUACUGCGGUUCAGCCUCCUCCCGCCUAAGAGCAACAAUGCCUGUGAGCAUAACCUUACCAAGAAGCGUGAAUCAUAUGAUAAUUACAUAUGGCACCCACAUAUCCAGAGGAGAACAGCACGGUGUGAGCCCUCAUCAAAUUGUCCAAGCCAGAAACCUAGGCCUUUUCCUGGAAUGACGUUCCUCCACAGGUAAGUCUCUAAUAGGUGGACCCCUGCAGCAUUCACCCAGCUUUUUCACUGCGCCUGAAUAGAAGAUGCCCUUUCAGGCCAGGCGCAGUGGCUCACACCUGUAAUCCCAGCACUUUGGGAGGCCGAGGCGGGUGGAUCACGAGGUCAAGAGAUCGAGACCAUCCUGGCCAACAUGGUGAAACCCCGUCUCUAAUAAAAAUAAAAAUAAAAAAAAUUAGCUGGGUGUGGUGGUGCAUGCCUUGUAGUCCCAGCUGCUCGGGAGGCUGAGGCAGAAGAAUUGCUUCAACCCAGGAGAUGGAGGUUGCAGUGAGCCAAGAUCGCACCACUGCACUCCAGCCUGGUGACCCAGAAAGACUUCAUCUAAAAAAAAAGUUGCCCUUUCAUAACUGUUACCUCUGGACGUACUCUUUCUAGAAAGUCCUGCCCUUCGCUGUGCUAUCCCUGAAGAUCAGCACAAAUGUCAUCUCCAAGAGGAAGCCUGGAGCACCCACCAUCACCAUCACCACCCACAGAUGGACAAAAUUACCAAUAGUCUCCUCUCUCAGGUUUCCCAUAUAAUUACCUUUAUUACACUUAACAUAAAUAAGAUAGCCUCUCCACCUCUUUUUUUCAGUUAAAUGAUCCAACCAACUAAACUUUAAUUCAAUCGACUAUCGUUUGGCCACAAAUACUAUAUUCACUCUUUCUCUAAUCGAAUCAGAACUUGAAUGUCAAUAUCAUCCCUAAACCUUAUCAUCCACCCUCCCAUUAUCCAGCAUCCACCUCCUGAACUCAGUCACGGCCUCCAAAUACUAUAGCCAGCUCCCAGAAUUAAAAGGUUGAGCCUCAAAUUCUCAGAAAAGUUUAACAAGAAAAACAACUAGAAAGAAGGAGAUUUAUCCUAAAAGUCUGAUAUACUGUUCUGUAGAAUUUUCCCCUAAGUUCCAAGAUGAUAACUUCCUCUUUCAGCCUUAAUUCUCAGCGAAAAUACCCACAAAACUAAAAGCUACUGCUUUAAGCUCUUAAAUUUUAUCAGCAAAAUGAGGCUGAGGACCCGAGCCCACGCAAAUGGUGAAACUUUAAGAAAGAAGAAUAAAUAGAACAAAAAAGAAUGAUUGUUCUAGUUAUUCUUCCCUGAUUGAGACAUUAUGGUUUGUUUUUCCAAUAGGUUUUGUCAUAAAGGAGGAAAUAGGCAUAUUACAGAAAAGUUUGAAAAGAAAUGUAAAUAAAUAAAAAGUUCACUCAACAUGAACACAUAAGUAACAUAACUAUUAAUGUUUGCAAGUUCCCUUCCAAUAUUUUAUGUGCACAUAGAUCUGUAUAUAUUUAGCAAUUUUAAUCAAACUUUGCAUCCCAUUUGAUGACUUUUUUUCCAUUUAAGUUUUUUUUUCUGUUUUUGUUUUUGAGACGGAGUCUGGCUCUGUCUUCCAGGCUGGAGUAGUGCAAUGGUGCGAUCUCGGCCCACUGCAACCUCCGCCGGCUGGGUUCAAGUGAUUCUCC
rnacentral:lncRNA from 10 species